rnacentral:rRNA from 1 species
UACGUAGGGCGCAAGCGUUAUCCGGAAUUAUUGGGCGUAAAGAGCUCGUAGGCGGUUUGUCGCGUCUGCCGUGAAAGUCCGGGGCUCAACUCCGGAUCUGCGGUGGGUACGGGCAGACUAGAGUGAUGUAGGGGAGACUGGAAUUCCUGGUGUAGCGGUGAAAUGCGCAGAUAUCAGGAGGAACACCGAUGGCGAAGGCCGGGCUCUGGGCAUUAACUGACGCUGAGGAGCGAAAGCAUGGGGAGCGAACAGG